rnacentral:rRNA from 1 species
GGAAUAUUGCACAAUGGGGGAAACCCUGAUGCAGCCAUGCCGCGUGUGUGAAGAAGGCCUUCGGGUUGUAAAGCACUUUCAGUAGGGAGGAAAGGGUAAGGUUUAAUACGCCUUAUCUGUGACGUUACCUACAGAAGAAGGACCGGCUAACUCCGUGCCAGCAGCCGCGGUAAUACGGAGGGUCCGAGCGUUAAUCGGAAUUACUGGGCGUAAAGCGUGCGCAGGCGGUUUGUUAAGCGAGAUGUGAAAGCCCUGGGCUCAACCUAGGAAUAGCAUUUCGAACUGGCGAACUAGAGUCUUGUAGAGGGGGGUAGAAUUCCAGGUGUAGCGGUGAAAUGCGUAGAGAUCUGGAGGAAUACCGGUGGCGAAGGCGGCCCCCUGGACAAAGACUGACGCUCAUGCACGAAAGCGUGGGGAGCAAACAGGAUUAGAUACCCGGG